UACGUAGGUGGCAAGCGUUGUCCGGAUUUACUGGGCGUAAAGGGCGUGCAGGCGGUUUGUUAAGUUCAGGGUGAAAGCUCCCGGCUCAACUGGGAGAGGUCCUUGGAUACUGGCAGACUUGAGGAGGGUAGAGGAGAGUGGAAUUCCCGGUGUAGUGGUGAUAUGCGCAGAUAUCAGGAGGAACACCGGUGGCGAAGGCGGGUCUCUGGGCCGAUACUGACGCUGAGGAGCGAAAGCGUGGGGAGCGAACAGG
rnacentral:rRNA from 1 species